UAGGAAAACGUGGGAGUCUGGCAAAGAUGCUGGUGUGAUUUCCUAGGACUAGGAAAGGCUGAAUGUCGAUAGGAUCUAUUGGUGAAAAGUUGAUUUGUUUUGACAGACAAAGGUCAGGUCUGCGGGUAUUGCCCUGACUUCUUUUUUUGGAAUGUUCUUUUAAUUAUUUAAAAAUAAUCUUAAAUAUGUAACAGAUACUUAGUAAAGGAGAAUGAAUCAGUCCAUGUAGAGAAUGGAAACGCGCCCAUCAGAUUGUGACCAGGGGAGGGUGAGGGAAUAUAUUCUAGGAAAAGGAGAGGCGCCAAGAACAUGACCAGAGGAUGAUGAGGGAGGGGAGAAACAGCGGGGAGGAAGGCGGUUUUGACUUACACUGAUUUUGUUCAAAGCCCCUCCCUGAAAAGUAUAACAAUAAAGAUGACGAGGAUGACAGUGGGCUCUCAUUUCCGAACGAGCGCUCUAGGACCUUAAAUAACCAAGUGUCGUAGUAACUUAGAGUCUUACAGAACGGACCCUGUGGCUCCCUGGGGUGUGGAGGACAGGGCCAGCGUGGAAAGUCUGAGGGCGAGUGGCCAGGGAGUGCCGGGAGACGCAGGUCCGGGUGGGCCCCACAAAAACCCUGCGUGCCCUACUCCGUGCCCUACUCCGUGCACAGGACACCUUGCUGAGGCCUCUCGGACUCAACCCCGGAUCAAGAACUGCAGAUGCCUUAUUUUCCUAAUUAACGGAGCUCAUUCGUUCCUUAAUGAAAAAUUGAGGUCAGCAGCAUCAUGUGUACAUUUACACAAGACAGGAGAUAGUAAUGUAACGAGCGCCUGGAUUUCCCGUAGGGAAUAGCUGGGGAGUUUUUCCUAAAUUAAUGCAUGUUUUUAUUCUUGUUUACCGGGUUAUACAAACAAGGAUUUGAAACGGCUUUAACAUGCAAAUCUUAUUUUAUUCUUUAAUGCAAAGAUGUGUCAGUGUGCCCUUAUGGAAGGGAUAAACUUGUUCUGCAAUGCACCGAUUGCUCCUGAGCCUUUGAGAGAGGCGUUCACUGCAGAAAAGCAGGCUAAGCUUAGGUUGGCUGCAUCCAGACAGACUCCUCGGCGUCGGUCCUCUCGUGUCCUGCAGCGCCCGUGAACCCUGGCCGGGUCCUUUCCGUGCACUUGCGGGAGGCCAAGCUUCAGUCGCCAAGACUGAAGACGGAGAUGACAGUCUGAGGGCGGCUCUGCUCGAAGCAGGAGCAGGAACGGAACAGGACAAGAAGAGAACGUUCCGCCUUUUGCAUUGGGAGACCUUGGAACUUCCCUGGUGGCGAAUCCUACUCGACCCUGCAGACGGACAGGUUGACAAUGCACAUCUAUAAGAAGAGGAGUAGGAAACUGCCACUCAGCCAAAGAAUCUGACACUAUGGACAGAUCGGCGACCCAGAACGAGGAGCGCAGCCCUGCGGAAACACGCCGCGCCCUCGGAGCGUCCGCACAGACUCCCCUUCCCGCAGCAUCUCCAUCCGGAUUCUGAAAAACCACAGAGGUCCCGGUACCGCUUCUUCCCGGAAGGAUUCGGGGUUUCGGGGUUCCGUGCCUUUGGAUUUGGGCAAGGAGACGGCAGUGACUUCUUUCCUCCACCAGGCGGAGCCCCAUGCCUUUAGGAAAGGCUGGGAGGCACAGAACACCUCACCUCUCCGUCCUGGAUAGCCAGUCAUACGAGAUCAGCCUGGGCCUGCUUUAAAGGAAGCCCAGUAACCUUGGUUUGUAAACGCAGAUGCAGUCUUGCUGUCACGCUUCUUUUCUCCUAGCACUCCUGUUGGAGAUACGGAAAUGGAAACCCUGGAAAGUGGCGUGCGUGGCUUCUCAUGCUAACAUGGGUAGUUGGUGUCACUAAAGGGACAAGACAUCUUUUACCCAGUUGCCUGUUGUGCCCAGGUCGCAAGACCCCCAAGCAAGACCACUACAGAGCCAAUAUCCGAUACAAGCACGCAGAGUUUUAUUAUUAUUAUUAUUAUUAUUAUUAUUAUUAUUAACAAAACAUGCAAGCUUGGUCGGCCAUCCAACAUCUGACACCGCGGGUGGAGGAGAACGGCCCCAGCACCCACUUUUAAGGGGUUUAUAUAGGAAAAGUUUACAUGCAGCUUGGGAUUGGACGAGGGGGCUAGGGUGAGGUAAGCAUAAGGUUACUAACUGCUAACAGUUACUAACAGGAUUCGGGGUAUCCAUAAAGACAUAAAUUUUUAUUCCCUAUGUCCUGCUUUUGUUGACACAUUCAUAUUUAUUG